rnacentral:lncRNA from 1 species
GAGUGCAAUGAUGUGUUUGGCUUAGACGAUGAACUUCUCGAGAUGGUUCCAAAGCCUGUUCUUGCUGUUCUCUUUCUUUACCCAAUCACCAAAAAGGUCUCUCCUUUGUAAUAAUCCAUCUAUGAUUCUGAUAAAUUUCUGCUUGUAAUUGAUUGAAAAGCCCUUCAUUUUUGCUCUGUAGUGUGAAGAAGAGAGAAUCAAGCAAGACAAAGAAAUUAAGGAAAAGGUAAGUUUCUGUCUGAUCAACAUCUGAUUUGUUCUAAUAAAAAGGAACCCUUGUCUUUGUAGAUAACUCUCGUUCAUGUUUUGUGUGGAUGAAUGAUAGGUACAUCAGACUGACAAAGUCUACUUCAUGAAACAAACUGUGGAUAAUGCUUGUGGAACCAUUGGGCUCCUUCAUGCUAUUGGGAAUAUAACCUCUGAGAUCAAACUCUGUGAGUUAUAUAUACUCAGGCUUUCUAUGUGCUUCUUCUUUAAUCAUAGGAUAUGAAUCCUUAUCGAUUUUCACUUUUGAUUUCUUUUUACAGCCGAGGGAUCGUUCUUGGAUAGAUUCUUCAAAUCCACUGCCAAUAUGACUCCUAUAGAGGUGUUUCUCUAUCUUCUCUUUCUCAUCUAUAUUUGAUCUUCCUUAGAGUGUUUGCUUUGUGUUUAAUGUUUCUGAUAGCGUGCAAGGUUUCUUGAGAAUGACAGUCAAAUAGAAGAUGCUCAUUCUGUAGCUGUUAUAGCUGGUGAUACAACGGUAACUUCUCAUCUCCCAUUCAUGCUAAUGUAUUUGUGACUAGUUCAUUUAGAUCUUACAUUGGUUAUUUUUAUGUUUACCCAUCUUCAGGCUUCAGACGAGGUGGACACGCAUUUCAUCUGUUUAGCUUGUGUAGAUGGUAACAAUUUUCAUAUCAACACCAAAAUGAAAAUACUGAAAUCAAACUCACUUCCAAAAGUAGCACUAAAUUGUGACACUCUAUAAUGCAGGUGAGCUCUAUGAACUUGAUGGAGAUAGGGCAGGACCAAUUUCACAUGGUGUUUCCUCUCCAGCUACUUUGUUGCAGGUACUAUAAACCCUUCACUCUUUAAACUUAAAGAGUUAUCAAAACGUCAAAAUAAUCCAAGAAAACACAAUGGUUGUGUAUAGAACAAUACCUAUAUAUACUUGAAUAGCUUUGAUGUAUAUCUUCGGGUGAUAUUAUACUCGCAGGACGCAGCAAAAGUGAUAAAGACGAUAAUCGAGAAGAAUCCGGAUUCUCUCAACUUCAAUGUGAUAGCCAUCUCUAAGAAAGCCUGAGUGACUGUUCUUAAGAAGCAAAGCUCCUAAGUCUUGUUUUUGAGUUUAUGACUGACUCGUUUUGUUGCUUUUGUAUAUUCUGAAUCUUCUGGUUUAUAGAGAAUCCAUAUUUGUAGUUGUAGAACAACAACUUUCCUUGGAAGAGUGCCAUUUUAUUGAUAUUGAAUCGAUCGACCUAUGUUUUUUUUGGUCAAGAAACAUAUUAAAAUGGGCCAAGGCCCGUUAAUAGCACUAAUGGGCUUCACUCUCGGAUUUUGAGGGAUUCGUAUCUUGGAGCCGAAGUGUUUUCUUAUAGAAAGAUCAAAGAUUGAUUUCUUCUGCAAAAUUCGAUCGAAAGUGACGAAGAAAGAUCCGAAGAUGGCGACCGCAAGCGAGAGUUAUUCAGCUAAGAGAUGGCUUCCACUUGAAUCUAACCCAGAUGUGAUGAAUCAGGUAUUGCUCCACUCUCCGGUUUUUCCGAUUUUCCUCUCUGGUUCCGCAAAUUACUCCUCCGAUCACCGGAAUUUCGAAAUCGGGAGGAAUCUAGGUCAGUUAUGUGUGUUUUAAUCCGUAUUGGUAUGUACAGUAUCUUUGGGGACUUGGUCUUGCCCCUGAUGCAGCAGAGUGCAAUGAUGUGUUUGGCUUAGACGACGAACUUCUAGAGAUGGUUCCAAAGCCUGUUCUUGCUGUUCUCUUCCUUUACCCCAUCACCACAAAGGUUCUCUUCUUUUUUAUUUUCAAUUUCAAAUCCAUCUAUGAUUCUGUGUAAAUUUCUGAUUGUAUUUGAAACCUUGUGAUCUUGCUUUAUAGAGUGAAGAAGAGAGAAUCGAGCAAGACAAGGAAAUCAAGGAAAAGGUUAGUUUCUGAUUGUUCUACAUCAAAAAGAACCUUUGUUUCUGUAAUCGAGUCUUAUUUUGAUUCUGCGUUGAUGAAUGAUAGGUGCAUAGUGAUAAAGUUUACUUCAUGAAACAAACUGUUGGUAAUGCUUGUGGAACCAUUGGCCUUCUUCAUGCUAUUGGGAAUAUAACCUCUGAAAUCAAACUCUGUGAGUUUUUCAAACUCUUUACGUGUUUCUUCUUUAAUCGUAGGAUAUGAAUUCUUAUUGAUUGUUACCUUCUCCUUGCUUUUAAGCCGAGGGAUCGUUCUUGGAUAGAUUCUUCAAAUCCACUGCCAACAUGACUCCCAUGGAGGUGUUUUUUCUUAUCUCUAUAUUAUUAACUAUUAACAAUUCUGAGUGUUUGCUUUGCGUCUAAUGUUUCUAUGGAAAAUUUGAUAGCGUGCAAAGUAUCUUGAGAAUGACAGUCAAAUAGAAGAUGCUCAUUCUGUAGCUGUUUCAGCGGGUGAUACAGCUGUAAGUUCUCACCUCCCAUUGAUGCUAAUUUAUCUGUGUAACUUGUUCAUUUAAGUGUUACGUUGGUUUUAAACUUUUUCCCAUCUUCAGGCUUCAGACGAUGCGGUCACGCAUUUCAUCUGUUUAGCUUGUGUAGAAGGUAACGAAUUCUCACAUCAACCACCAAAAUGAGAAUAGUGAAAUCAAACUCACUUCUGAAUUGACACUAAAUUAUGGCACUCCUCCUUGCAUUAUCAUAUAACGUAGGUGAGCUCUAUGAACUUGAUGGAAGAAAGGCAGGACCGAUUUCACACGGUGCUUCCUCUCCAGCUACCCUCUUGAAGGUACUAUAAAAAACCUUCAUUCUUGAAGCUUAAUUUCACCCGAGUGUUGAAGAAUUAGGGGAAUAUGCAAUCGUUUUGUUUUAGAUGAACUGGUAAACAUUUGCAUUUGUGUAUUAAACUUCGCAGGACGCAACGAUAGUGAUAAAGAAAAUGAUUGAGAAGAACCCAGAUUCUCUGAACUUCAAUCUG